rnacentral:rRNA from 1 species
UACGAGGGGAGCAAGCGUUGUUCGGAUUUACUGGGCGUAAAGGGCGCGUAGGCGGUCGUGACAAGUCACUUGUGAAAUCUCCGGGCUUAACUCGGAACGGUCAAGUGAUACUGUCGGACUAGAGUACAGAAGGGGCAACUGGAAUUCUCGGUGUAGCGGUGAAAUGCGCAGAUAUCAGGAGGAACACCGGUGGCGAAGGCGGGUCUCUGGGCCGAUACUGACGCUGGAGGAGCGAAAGCGUGGGGAGCAAACAGG